rnacentral:rRNA from 1 species
CACGUAGGGCGCAAGCGUUGUCCGGAAUUAUUGGGCGUAAAGAUCUCGUAGGCGGUCUGUUGCGUCCGCUGUGAAAACUCGGGGCUUAACCCCGAGCCUGCAGUGGAUACGGGCAGACUAGAGGUAGGUAGGGGAGAAUGGAAUUCCCGGUGUAGCGGUGAAAUGCGCAGAUAUCGGGAGGAACACCGGUGGCGAAGGCGGUUCUCUGGGCCUUACCUGACGCUGAGGAGCGAAAGCGUGGGGAGCGAACAGG